rnacentral:rRNA from 1 species
GACAGAGGGUGCAAGCGUUGUUCGGAAUCAUUGGGCGUAAAGCGCGUGUAGGCGGUCCGGUAAGUCCGCUGUGAAAGUCGGGGGCUCAACCCUCGGAUGCCGGUGGAUACUGUCGGGCUUGAGUACGGAAGAGGCGAGUGGAAUUCCUGGUGUAGCGGUGAAAUGCGCAGAUAUCAGGAGGAACACCUGAGGCGAAGGCGGGUUGCUAGGCUGACACUGACGCUGAUGCGCGAAAGCCAGGGGAGCAAACGGG